GGGUAGCCUUCAUUGGGCUGUGUACUGGUACAGGGUUGAUGCUGUACCGGUACAGUGUUGAUGGUUGUACCGGUACGCGGGCUUGUGUACCGGUACGCAGGCAGUUUUGAGGCAAACCCAAGGCUCGGGUUUGGUCUUUUCGUUGGAGGUGUACCGGUACGCGGGCCGUGUACCGGUACGCAGUGACAGAUUCUGAAUGGUCGAAACUGCAGGGGUGUUUUUGCAAUGUGG
rnacentral:lncRNA from 1 species